UACGUAGGGGGCGAGCGUUGUCCGGAUUUAUUGGGCGUAAAGAGCUCGUAGGCGGUUUGGUAAGUCGGAAGUAAAACGGCAGGCUCAACCUGUCGUCGCUUUCGAUACUGCUAUGACUUGAAUCUGGUAGGGGAUGACGGAAUUCCUGGUGUAGCGGUGAAAUGCGCAGAUAUCAGGAGGAACACCAAUGGCGAAGGCAGUCAUCUGGGCCAGUAUUGACGCUGAGGAGCGAAAGCGUGGGUAGCAAACAGG
rnacentral:rRNA from 1 species